GAUGAACGCUAGCGGCAGGCUUAAUACAUGCAAGUCGAGGGGCAGCAUGACUGUAGCAAUACAGUUGAUGGCGACCGGCAAACGGGUGCGGAACACGUACAGAACCUUCCUUCGAGCGGGGAAUAGCCCAGAGAAAUUUGGAUUAAUACCCCAUAGUAUUAUGGAGUGGCAUCACUUUAUAAUUAAAGAUUUAUCACUUG
rnacentral:rRNA from 1 species